CCCAGACAACAGAAACCUGAGUGGGGGUUGGGAAGAGAGAUUUUUCAGCACAGCAUCAGACUUCCUCUCCGAAGAGCUGUGUGGCCUUCACCCGCAAGGCGACCUCUUCCACAGGCAGAGGCUAGGACAAAAAGAGGGCGGAGGGACCUCAUUAGAAGGCGCUGGUGCUAACGGGAAAUGCAUUUCCAGAACAGGAGGUUUCAUCAUUCCUAGCGCUAGCGACAGAAUGGUGACAGAAGGUGCCCAGUAGUCACGCACAGCUACCAUUUGGACAGCAAAAUAUUACUAAAGAAGCAGCUAUCAAACGGAUUCCCAGGUGAAAAUCAAUAAUCUCUCAGGAGUGAGGUGCCAGACAGGUCGUUCCGAGAAAAACUAUGAUAUAACCUCCUCAGAGAAUUGAAGCCGACUGCUCAGCCUUUCUUCAUAAGGCAAAAUGAGACCUGGAAAUGGGAGAGACUACUGAGAGUAAGCCCGACAAAGGAAGAGUCCCCACCAUGAGCAAUACAGAACUAUGUAACCAAGAUCUUCAAAUAAAUACUUCGAAAAUAAUAUUAGUGAUCUGCAGCUCUUAAGAACACACCCUGUAGCCGGCCGGGCGCAGCGGCAGUAAUCCCAGCACUUUCGGAGGCUGAGGCGGGCAGAUCACAAGGUCAGGAGUUCGAGACCAACCUGGCUAACAUGGUGAAACCCUGUCUCUAAUAAAAACACAAAAAUUAGCUGGGUAUGGCGGUACAUACCUGUAAUCUCAGCUACUCAGGAGGCUGAGGCAAGAGAAUUGCUUGAACCCAGGAGGCAGAGGUUGCAGUGAGCCCAGAUCGUGACAUUGCAUUCCAGCCUGGGCAACAGAGUGAGACUCCAUUAAAAAAAAAAAAAAAAUACUCUGCAGCUAAGGAUGUUAAAGGUAUAAAUUACUGGGGUUUGUCUUUUUAUUUGCACCUUUCCUCCAACUCCAUCUCCCUUCAAAAGUUUUCCUUUAAUGAGAAGAGGAAUAUGAAACAUAAAAAGAGAACUACAAACCUUUUUCCUUUAAGUACUGUGUUGUGCUGAGUUCUGAUCUCACAUAUAUGCUUUCCCUUCAGCUCUGCAGACAUAUUUUCCAGCGUUCAAUUCACAUCAAGGAUGAGUAUGCACUGACGGAAAAGGUCAUAUGCAAUACACCUGUACACACUUAAGAGGAUUGCUCCAAAUGUAGUUGAUGGCAAUCUAAUAAGAGAGGGUACUGAAGACAAAUGAGAUGCAUUUGCCUGUUUCCCUAAUGCUUAACAAGCAAAGGCAAGGUGAAGCAGCAGCAGGAAGAAGGCCACAGAGCAGAAAGCUCUUUAAAUAGCUUUCCAGGUGACCCUGCCACACUGGCACUGGUGGAUUAAAAAGGAUAACUGGGACAUGGACAUGAGCAUUGUGAAGGGAGACAGGCUGGGAAUCUGUUAGCCCUGAUGGCCCCAUGCAUGCCUCUCCCACCACAACUGACUCUACACUAGAUAAGUCUAUUAUGGCAAAAGGCUUCUCUUGUUUCAAGGUCGACGUGUAUGAGCAUUUCUUUCUCCUCACUGGAAAUCAACAGUACCUAGCCUUCUGAUUUGAAGAAACCAACUGCAAAAAGAAAGGUAGAAGGCAAUGGGGGGAAUCUGCCUGGGCAUUUGAUAGUAAGGAAUUAUUGUUAAUACUUUACAUGUAAUAGUGUUCCUGUAGUUAUGUUAAAAAUAAAGAGAU